CACUGGCGUACGACUUUAAAGUAAUAUAAACCCCAUUGUAACACGUUCCAUUGUCUAUAAAUUAUUUUAUACUUAUACUUAUACUGUACGUUAUGCUGUCAGUUAUUUCAACUUAUUUUUUAUACUCGUUUAUACAGGACGUGUUGAAUUUACGACUGAAGAAAUUCCACAGCUAUGGGUGCCGAGAAUCACCCUGCGCAGCAGGAACGAUGUUAAAGAUUUUAUCACCCGAUACACCAUCGAGUCGCAAAUGGGAUGAACUAUAAACACCCACAUACGGGGAUAUGACACCUAGAAUUCUAAUCCAUUAUCUGCAAGCCCAGUGAAUUCCGAAGAUUCAACGUUUCAUUUUACGACAUAAACUGAAAUAAGGAUCAAUAUUUGACGAACGGUUGGAGAAUGGCAAACUCGGUAAUGCAUCUAAAAUCUUUUCCUUGUUAUGUGUUUGAACGAAUGAUUUUAUUUUUCAAAUUUUUUUAAUCGACAGUUCGACUUGCGAAAUUUUUUUGACGUAUCCGCACGCAUUGAUCGAAUUUUACAAUUACAUUUCGAAAAUAAUGAUCCGAUCCGAUGGAUAUAAUAUGGACGCCGUACGAAGAACAAAGUGUUCGUUUGUAAAACUUACAGGGUAUUGGAAAGAAGGAGAACAAGUGAAAAACCAAAAAAGAAAAGAUGGAAAGGAAAUGAAGAAGAAAAAUCGCAAAUCAAGAUGGGUAAAAAAGUCGCGCAAAAAUAUCGCAAGGCCGCCGACGCCCGUGGAAGAAGAAGAAGAAGGCGACGACGCCGACGUGGUGGUAGUAAAGCGUCGACGGAUAAUUCUUGGCUCGAUACCGAUUUCCGAAACUUGGUGGUGGUUAUCGGUACGCAUCGUUCAUUGGUAGAGUAGGCAGAGAGAACUUUGAAACAUCGAAGCUUUCGAAAAGCUUCCGUCGUAGGUCGGCUGCGUCGCUACCACCUGGCUCUAAAUCUUGAAAAGCUCGCGGAAAAUUUCACCGAUAUCUCCUAGCUUUCCCGGUAACACGACGGACGGUAAUACAAGCCAUUCGAGUGGUCGUUAUCAUCCAGUUUCCGAUCGCAUCGACGACGAACUUUCCCAGUUGGCGAUCCGAAUUCAAAUCGGAAUUCGAACGCAGGAUCCGAAUGAGGAGUGAGGAAAUGAGGAUCGAAUUUAUCUUCUGAUUAAGGAUUACCACACAACAACAACAACAGAAAAAAGCAAAGUUUUGGACCAUCAAUUUUUCACCGGGGAGUUUUGGAAACAGGAGAAAAUAACGAGUCGAUUCUUCGAAGCUUCAAAGAUACCGGACGACGAGAUCGAGCAUCGAAAGGUCACUGCACUGGUUACUACAAGAACUGUACUCGGUAUCGUACUCGCAUCUCAUGAAUCACCACCAACGGCACAACUGGAUCAACUUAUAUCACUCGGCACAAUGGAGAGAAGAGAGAAGAGGAGAGCGAGCUUGAUUCAACGAUGGAAUUAUCGAGGUGAAUGAUUCGGGAAGGAGGCGUUACGCGUUGCGUACAAUUUUAAGAUCCGAAUCAUGUGGAUUCGUCGAAUGCUGCGAUAUCUUUUUUCCGCUGCACGAUCACGACGCGUCGCGGGUACUUUCCUAUUAAUCACGGUCGAAGUCCGGGCGCAUAUUCAAUCGUCAAAAGGAACAACGAGGGACGAGUAUAAGAAACCGAGCAGAUCCCCGGAACGAGCUGAAAACUUAUGGACGAUGCCCAAGUUUUAUUAUUUGCGUACACGGCGGUUUCACGCGUUAUACAGUAAAAUAAUAUGCGGAAAAUAUUACGAACUCGAGGAAAACUCAUGGAUCCAACUACCGCCGACACUCCGGCGGUACAAUUUUUCAAACCCGUGGCGUCGGGUCAAAUGCGACGCAUUCCGGGCAUAAUGCACACUCGGUGGAUACCUGUUAGGGUGAACGACUUUCCGCGCUGCGAAGAUCAUCACGACGAGUACGCAUCGGUUUACUGCCAGAUUUUGGUUUGAAUGAGAGGAGAAGGAACACACCUCUGUGGGCAUGUCUGAAACAAGGAAGAGAAGCGGAGUCUUCGGUGGCGCGAAGAUAACGUUGUACGUUGUACGUUGGCAAAACGUACCCUGCCAACGAUCAUCAAGCUCCGUAGCCUCCCUCGCACUUGGUCGGGAUAGACCUAGUGACGUCACACUUCUAUUCGUGUUCGUGGACAAGAAACACUAUCUUUAGAUCCCACGCCGAGCAAGUUAGGCAGCUUGUCGGGCGAUCCGAGACCACUCUUAAUACCUACAUAUGUUCUUAUUAGAAUAUCACCGCCGAUAUUGGCAACGGAUCGUUGUACGUUCGAACCUGGAUAACGGCUUCGGAUUAUCAUCCGGUAAAAAUUUGUCAGACUGACCAACGUCGUCGUACAUUCGAGCCGGAGUUUAUCUAGACAUCUAGAAGCAGUCGAACGAGUACCGUUGAAAGGAAAGAAGGUCAUUCGUCGUUGGAUGACGCGAAAGUGAAUUCCCUGAUGGAACAAAUAUUCGAAAUAAUUUAACCCGCCCUAUGCGGCAAAUAUGGUUCUUACAGUCGUCUACCAUGGCAGCACUUGCGAGUAAAAACACUUCGUUCAACCUUUCGUUGAACCUUCCGUUAAUUAUUUCCAAAAUUCUGCUAUGAACGGAGAAACGUCGAAUAAUUCGAGGGUGAGGUGUACGUUGAUAGGUUCGAGGAAAUAAUUCAGACGCGAUGUUCGUUCGACUGAUAAUUAAUUCAUUGACUGUCGAUACACUGUACGAUGAUGAAUUUUUAUGAACAUCGGAUCGUUCGACUAUUGUUUUGGGAGAAAUUGGAAAUUCUAUUUUAACUCCAAGCUUCGAUUACAGAUAAGAGCUAUGCGAUCGGACGUUCGUGGAUCAACUCGCAGGAGGAGACUGGAAACCGUUCGGCGAAUACCUUUGAGAGAAAAACUUGCCGCCUCUCUACAAAAUUGGAGAUUCGUUUCGCGCGAAUCCGCGAUGUCCACACCUUCGACGAGCCCAAAAAUCAAAACGUAGAUCCGCUGCGAACGGGAAUAAGAAAAUAAAAAUCAGUAGAGUUCCACGGUUGAUUCGCGGUACUGCUCGUUGACAACUCUUCGCAAGUUUGGCUUACGCAGUUGUCUUGUAACGGACUUCUCACGCUAUCGCCAUCUUGUCGCAUUUCGGAACAAAAAAAUGUAUACAUAUAUCUCGACUAGUAUUAGGAGUAGCUUGACCCAGUCGACACGUUCGUGUCGCUGAGGUCAUAACUCAUGAACCAUGUGAAAGCAGUGGCUCGAUCGAUUCGGAAAAUACUCAGUUCUUCCAGGUGUAUUAUCAUGUAUUUUGGGAUCAGGAAUUCAACGAGUAAUACCCAAGUCUUUGCUACAGAAGGCGAAAAAAUAUUUUAUUUUGAAAACGGAGACCAUAGCCUUCGUAUUUUUUCGAUUUCAGGACCAGAGAUCAUAAUUAAUCCUUGUUUUUUUUUGGUUUUUCAAAUAUUUUGAAUCCAAAAAUCCGAAUCCCAUCACCAAAAUAAUUCAUUUAUCGAAUUGAUCGAGUGAUCGCCGAUCUUUAACUGUCAAAAGCAGGGAAAUUGAAAUAUCUCGAUAGCUCCAAGUCUUGGCUCACUUCAUUCGCCGAAUAUGGCGGAUCAAACCAUUCAAAAAUAUUUUUUAGUAUGUUCGCAGAAUCGCAGAAUCACCAAGACCCUAGUUUUCCGUUUUUUCAAUCUUUGAAUCAAUUACGAACUCUAGUUCCAACAUUUUUAGCUUUUCCACGUAUUCUAAGCUCAGAAAUAUAAAUAUUCUACAUGAAUUGAUUGAAUUAUCGAACUCGUGAAGUUAUCGCUGUACUUUACCGCUUGGAAAAACAAAAAAAUUGUAAUCAAAUAAUAGCUCUCGGUUGUUGUAAAAUUUUGUGAUUAGAUUCCUGUAUGCGAAUCAAAAUACAAAUC
rnacentral:lncRNA from 1 species